rnacentral:rRNA from 1 species
GUGGGGAAUUUUGGACAAUGGGCGCAAGCCUGAUCCAGCAAUGCCGCGUGCAGGAAGAAGGCCUUCGGGUUGUAAACUGCUUUUGUACGGAACGAAACGGUCCUGGUUAAUACCUGGGGCUAAUGACGGUACCGUAAGAAUAAGCACCGGCUAACUACGUGCCAGCAGCCGCGGUAAUACGUAGGGUGCAAGCGUUAAUCGGAAUUACUGGGCGUAAAGCGUGCGCAGGCGGUUUGGUAAGACAGGCGUGAAAUCCCCGGGCUCAACCUGGGAAUUGCGCUUGUGACUGCAAGGCUGGAGUGCGGCAGAGGGGGAUGGAAUUCCGCGUGUAGCAGUGAAAUGCGUAGAUAUGCGGAGGAACACCGAUGGCGAAGGCAAUCCCCUGGGCCUGCACUGACGCUCAUGCACGAAAGCGUGGGGAGCAAACAGGAUUAGAAACCCCGGUGUCC